rnacentral:rRNA from 1 species
CCCUCCAACCAAUGCCCAAUCACCACCACAAACCCACCAAUCAUCAACUAAACCAAAACAUUUGACAAGAGUAGUAUAAGAGAUAGAACCUCAACUUGGCGCACAGCAGUACCGCAAGGGAAACAAGAAAGAAAAAUUAAAAAUUAAAACAAAAAAAGCAGAGAUUAAACCCCAUACCUCUUGCAUCAUGGUUUAACAAGUCAACAAUGGACAAAACGUACUUACGCACAGCCCAUUACCCCGAAAUCAAGUGAGCUACCUAUAACCAACUUAUAAGAGUCAACCCGUCACUGUAGCAAAAGUGUGGGAUGAGUUAGAGGUAGAAGUGAAAAGCCUAACGAACUUGACGAUAGCUGGUUAUCCAACCAAAUGAACCUUAGUUCAAUUUUAGGUUUACUACAUCAACUACUUGACCAUAAUUAACCUAAAAGAUAAUCAAUGAGGGCACAGCCUCAUUGAUAAAGGAAACAACCCCAAUUAGAGAUUAACCACACCAGUUAUACUUACCCGUAGGCCUUUAAGCAGCCAACAAAAACAAAAUGCGUUACAGCAACAACACCCCAAAUACCACAACAUAUUAAUAACUCCUAUUUAAUUACUGGAUAAAUCUAUUCUUAUAGAAGUACCCAUGUUAAAACUAGUAAUAAGAAAAUUUCUCUCCCGCACAAGAAAACAUUAACAGACAUAAUAUAUUGAACUAAAUUAAACACAAGAAAAACAUAUCUACCAACACUGUUAAUCCAACUCAGGAGUGCAUAAAGAAAGAUUAAAAGUUAUAAAAGGAACUCGGCAAACUAAAAGUCCCAACUGUUUACCAAAAACAUAGCCUUUAGCCCAACAAGUAUUAAAGGUAAUGCCUGCCCAGUGAUUCUUUCAACGGCCGCGGGAUCUUAUACCGUGCAAAGGUAGCAUAAUCACUUGUCAUCUAAAUAAUGACUAGUAUGAAUGGCCCUAUGAGGACUUCCCUGUCUCUUAUAAUCAAUCAAUGAAACUGAUCUCCCAGUACAAAAGCUGGAAUAAUAACACAAGACGAAAAGACCCUGUGGAACUUCUAAGUGCUAAUUAACAACAUAAUACAACCACUUUUAGUUGGGGCAACUUUGGAAUAAAAUAAAACUUCCAAUUAAAGUAACACCACUUUAACUAAAAACCAGGUCCACACACCGACCUUUUAACUUACACCGACCCAGUAUUACUGAUAAAAGAAACAAGCUACCCCAGGGAUAACAGCGCCAUCCCCUCUUAGAGUCCAAAUCGACGAGCGGGGCUUACGACCUCGAUGUUGGAUCAGGGCCCCCAAACAGUGCAGCAGCUGUUAAAGGUUUGUUUGUUCAACAAUUAAUGCCCUACGUGAUCUGAGUUAAGACCGGAGUAAUCCAGGUCGGUUUCUAUCUGUGCAAAGUUUUUUCUAGUACGAAAGGACCGAAAAAACCAAGUCAAUGCUUAAAACACACUUGCCAACAAUAAGCUGACACACCUAAAACUUUAAAUAGGCUAAAACACACAGCCCAACACAAGGGCCUU